rnacentral:lncRNA from 1 species
AUGCUUUAGGAAAGUAGGAAUAUUAUUCACAACAAAAACUACACAGACUCCAUCACAGCAUGCACACAGCACCACAGCUUCCUUAACUGCCACCAACAGCCUUUCCUUGACACCACCGCAGCACCUCCUGUCCAACUACACCUACGACUUGCAACUCGAGACCAUCCCCUGCUAACUCAUACAAGCCUGCACUGUUUACACAGCGUGCCUUUAAUAGCCCAGCUUAAGCUUAGAUAACAUUUUUGUGCCUAAAACUAUCAAGUUGCAAUGCACC